GUUAGCAGAAAGUGGCGAACGGGUGAGUAACGCGUGGGUAAUCUACCCUGUAAGUGGGGGAUAACCCUCCGAAAGGAGGGCUAAUACCGCAUAAUAUCUUCUCCUCUAAAAGAAGAGAAGAUUAAAGAUGGCCUCUAUACUAUGCUAUCGCUUCAGGAUGAGCCUGCGUCCUAUUAGUUAGUUGGUGGGGUAAUGGCCUACCAAGACCACAAUGGGUAGCCGGUCUGAGAGGAUGUACGGCCACACUGGGACUGAGAUACGGCCCAGACUCCUACGGGAGGCAGCAGUGGGGAAUAUUGCGCAAUGGGGGAAACCCUGACGCAGCGACGCCGCGUGGAUGAUGAAGGCCCUUGGGUUGUAAAAUCCUGUUCUGGGGGAAGAAAGCUUAAAGGUCCAAUAAACCCUUAAGCCUGACGGUACCCCAAGAGAAAGCUCCGGCUAAUUAUGUGCCAGCAGCCGCGGUAACACAUAAGGAGCAAGCGUUAUCCGGAGUUAUUGGGCGUAAAGAGCUCGUAGGCGGUCUUAAAAGUCAGGUGUGAAAUUAUCAGGCUCAACCUGAUAAGGUCAUCUGAAACUUUAAGACUUGAGGUUAGAAGAGGA
rnacentral:rRNA from 1 species